AAUCAUGAACUAAAGGAACAAAUUAACUGUAUGGAGAGGAGCUACUAUCCGUCACACAGAACCCAAUGUAAAUCUGUUGGUGUCCCGAGUGUUGGCAUAGAUUUGCUUAGAUAAAGUUUUCACAUGCAUUUCGGUAAGCAUACACGCGGAUACCGAUCUAUCUGUGUAGGGUGAAUAUUGGCAGAUAAAAUCGGACAAGCAAUAUAUCCGUCGGGCUCCACUAAAUACUGCAUCCCGACCUUUUCAGAUUGCAGACACUGAUCAGCCUGGAUCCAGCCGUCCCGCUCACAUUGCUUUGAAGUAAUCAACACCAUACUGCAUCCAGUCAUCGUGGAAUGUCUCUUCCAGCACUACUGCUACACCAAAGGAGGGAUGCGUCACUCAUCCUACACCUGCAUCUGGGGAACGUAGGACAUUUAAAAAUGCUGCUCCAGUGCCCUUAAGCAAGGUGACUCACUUGUUUCCUAUUGUACGACUGAGGUUGUAUCUAGGCAUCAACGGUCCAACGGUUUCCUUACUCAAGCAGAAACUUAACUAAUGAAUCAAACCUCCACAUUGACACAGACAAACUAG
rnacentral:lncRNA from 1 species